rnacentral:rRNA from 1 species
GAUGAGCGCUGGCGGCGUGCCUAAUACAUGCAAGUCGAGCGAACGGACGAGAAGCUUGCUUCUCUGAUGUUAGCGGCGGACGGGUGAGUAACACGUGGAUAACCUACCUAUAAGACUGGGAUAACUUCGGGAAACCGGAGCUAAUACCGGAUAAUAUUUUGAACCGCAUGGUUCAAAAGUGAAAGACGGUCUUGCUGUCACUUAUAGAUGGAUCCGCGCUGCAUUAGCUAGUUGGUAAGGUAACGGCUUACCAAGGCAACGAUGCAUAGCCGACCUGAGAGGGUGAUAGGCCACACGGGAACUGAGACACGGUCCAGACUCCUACGGGAGGCAGCAGUAGGGAAUCGUCCGCAAUGGGCGAAAGCCUGACGGAGCAACGCCGCGUGAGUGAUGAAGGUCUUCGGAUCGUAAAACUCUGUUAUUAGGGAAGAACAGAUGUGUAAGUAACUGUGCACAUCUUGACGGUACCUAAUCAGAAAGCCACGGCUAACUACGUG